AUUGCACUUUUUCAUAGUGAGUCAAAACCCUUAAAGAGGUACCCAGUCCAGCUUGAAUCUCAGCAGAGUGACAAACAUUGAGAGCUGUAAACAGCCGUUCCAGUCUCAUUACAACAUUUAAAGCUUUGGGGAAUGCAUCGGUUUUAAGAAGUAGUCCUCAGAGUUGUUGCUCUGGAAUACAACCCACUCUUAACGUGCUUUUUAGCCGUUUAUGACUAUCUUACUUUGUGGUUGCUGGUGAUGGGUACCUGAAUGCUGAACACAACCCACAAUUGCCAUUGUUGCUUUGAGAACAAGAUGCAAACAAGAAAAUGAUUAUGGCUAGGAAAAUCAGGCCCAUCAGAAAUUCGCAAAAACCAUGGCCAAGACUCACCAGAAGCCAGAGAUCAAGAGAACCAUUGAUGCAGUGCAUUCAUUCAGCCCCAGAAGCAUGGAGCAGAGUGGAAAAGGUGAAGAAAGGAAAUGGGGUUCCACAGAGACUAUUUCAACUGUCCAUUUUCAUCAGAAAAACUUCAAAUACCACCAGAUAAACUUCUCACCUAGUUGCAUAUAAAAUGUUACAGCUUGUUUCUUUCUUUCUUUCUCUUUCUUUCUUUCCUUCUUUCUUUCUUUCUUUCCUUCUUUCUCUUUCUUUCUUUCUUUCCUUCUUUCUCUUUCUUUCUUAAUUUCUUUCUUUCUUUCUUUCUUUCUCUUUCUUUCUUUUUCUUUCUUUCUCUUUCUUUCCUUCUUUCUUUCUCUGUUUCUUCUUUUCCUUCUUUUUCUUUUUUAUCUGAAAAACUGAGUUUUUAUUAAAUGAAUAAUUUUUUAAAUCUCACUAAAGAUUUUUGUGGUAAGAAUGGGGUACGUCUCAGUUGCCACAUAUACCAGCAAGAAAAGAGUGUGAAAAGAUCUGCCUUUGAU
rnacentral:lncRNA from 1 species